AUUGAACGCUGGCGGCAUGCCUUACACAUGCAAGUCGAACGGCAGCACGGGAGCAAUCCUGGUGGCGAGUGGCGAACGGGUGAGUAAUAUAUCGGAACGUGCCCAGUCGUGGGGGAUAACGUAGCGAAAGCUACGCUAAUACCGCAUACGAUCUACGGAUGAAAGCGGGGGGAUCGCAAGACCUCGCGCGAUUGGAGCGGCCGAUAUCAGAUUAGGUAGUUGGUGAGGUAAAGGCUCACCAAGCCGACGAUCUGUAGCUGGUCUGAGAGGACGACCAGCCACACUGGGACUGAGACACGGCCCAGACUCCUACGGGAGGCAGCAGUGGGGAAUUUUGGACAAUGGGCGCAAGCCUGAUCCAGCAAUGCCGCGUGCAGGAUGAAGGCCUU
rnacentral:rRNA from 1 species